AUGUGAAUUACUCAGGGAUCUUGUUAAAAGGAAGAUUCAGAUUGAGCAGGUCUGAGCUUCUGCAUUACUAAGAAGCUCCCAGGAGCUGCUGAUGCUGC
rnacentral:pre_miRNA from 1 species